rnacentral:lncRNA from 1 species
AAAAUUCCAUAUUCAUAAAUUGUUUUUAAUUCAACUUUAGGAAUAGUCCAUUUAUUCAGUAGAUCCAUAUCUUGAGGUAAAUCUACCUCUUCGAGUUUUGUAUUUUUUGUACUUACUUCUCCCAUAUCCAUAGUUGGAAGAGUCUUAUAUCUAUGCUAAAAAGCUUCACCUCACUUAACAUAUUUACUAUGAAAAUUCACAGGCUCUGAUACCAUUUACAGGAUCUAUUAGGCUGGGGUAUGCCACUCAGCCUACCAGACCAUAUAAUAAUAUCGGAUUAAGCCAAAGUCGGAAGACCGAACCAAAGCACCAACCGAAAUAGGAAAGAAUCUAAAGUAAUUUUAUGACUGUAUGGACGAUUCUUUUACCCAAACAUGGGGCCUGUCAGAGAUUUAAUAACCUUAUGUUGAACCUUUGUGUCUAGAAGUUCUAAUUGUGCGGAAAUUCGCCCUUUUCUCAUCAUCAAUACGGGCUAGAGAAGCACAACUUACUAGACGGUGUCACAGAGACAAGGUUAACAUAAGUCUAUUGAACUCGACUGUACCUCCAUUUUGGAACCAAGUCAAGAAAUUAAAAAGAUUCUUUCAUAUUUUGAUAGAGUCUGGAGCUUUCAUAGUUAACAUGUCAGCGAAGUUAGAUCUUCAGCAUAGAUAUAAGAUACUGUUCAGCCGGACAUAGUCAC